UCUCUGGUACCAUAUCGGUUAGUACACGCUCCUGUAGUGUUGUCGAUGAUCUCGCGCGCACAGGCUGGGUUCGACUCCCAGCCAGAGAG